AUGCUACAAGUGCCAAGGAUGUCGAUUUUUUUUUUUUUUUUAAUGACUAUGCAACAAAAAAACCAAAAAUAAAUCGAACAAUGUAAAAGUUACGACCAAUGGUAUACACUACUUAAGAUGACUGAUGUAAUAGUUAGUCCAUCUAGGAAUAUAUGCCAUUUGUGACACAUCAUAUGUAUUGAUUUUGAUUCUUUCUUAUCGAACCCCCCUCGGUGUCAACACGCUAGAAUCAUCCCUUUUUCUCUUAAA